CCUCCAUUUCUUGGCACACAUGUGGUCAUCAGUACUCAUGUGUGUAAUGUUCGGAGGAAUAGUAACCCAACAGCGCUAUGUCUUCGGUGCUGGUGUGUUUAUUGUCCACCAGUUCUAUCCUCAAUCGCUGUGACAUGG